rnacentral:ribozyme from 1 species
UCAACAUUUUGUUCUGUAGACAGUGUUGUAGAAAUACACCACUUAUUCAAACCUUACUCAAAAGUCACCGACGUACAGAACGGCAACAUGUCUAUCUGCAUAUCUGAGCUUGGGUAUACGGGGAAAUCCAACACCUUGGGAGGAUGGAAGGCGUGCCUAGUUUGAGAGGA